UACGUAGGGUGCGAGCGUUAAUCGGAAUUACUGGGCGUAAAGCGUGCGCAGGCGGUUUUGUAAGCCAGAUGUGAAAUCCCCGGGCUUAACCUGGGAAUGGCAUUUGGGACUGCAAGGCUUGAGUGCGGCAGAGGAGACUGGAAUUCCUGGUGUAGCAGUGAAAUGCGUAGAUAUCGGGAGGAACACCAGUGGCGAAGGCGACUACCUGGCCUGUUCUUGACGCUGAGGCGCGAAAGCGUGGGGAGCGAACAGG
rnacentral:rRNA from 1 species